AGACCUCUGUCAUGUUCGCCCGGGGAAACGUUCUCGAACCGACUCUUUCCUGACGGGAAGCCAAACACCCACUGUUACGGUUAUCCUCUCUCGGGAGGCAAACCCGACCAGUGGUGCGGCUUCCACCUGAGCCUAUCGGGUUCAGAAUUAUGUUCUUACAGCGGCAUUGCGAUGGAGGUCUU
rnacentral:other from 1 species